UUUUAGGCCAAACACUAGCUCCUACUUCAGGAAAGACGGUAGCUCCCCCUGCUGACACAUCGCUCAUCUGGAAAGGUGGAAAAGGCACAGCAUGCAAGAUGACUGCAUCUCGGCUCUGGGGAAAGGAGUUCUCUCUCCACAUCACAAGCCUACACGGUAAGCUGCAACGCAAGUUUUCCUAUGCUGCCUACAAAGCCUUCUUCAUAAGAAGAGGGCAUUGAGCUCUCACUCGUGCAGCCACGUUUGCCUUACUCCACAAUGCUCUGCAGCUAUGGCAGCUUCCAGCUUCAGUGCCUGGAUGCACAUUAGCUGAUGCCACCAUCAUCUGCUGCACCUGUCAGGAACAUGGGACAUACACCAAGUUUUUAUACAGUUUAGCUGUAUAACCUUCAGUGAUUUUUAAACAAAAUGGCUUUCCAGGGCCAGUACCAUGGCCAGCUGGAGUAUUUCUAAAUGUUUUCUCAGUUUUAGAAUAAAGCUAAUGCCCUGUGCUCUGUUAAGAACUAUCACUCAUCUCAGAAUAAUGCUUUUUUAAUUAUAUUUUUGAAGAAAAACCUUGUUGCUCUCUAAUGCCUACAAUGUGUAUCAGUUCAGCUGGUGGUUUAGAGGGCUUUCUCCACUAACAUGGAUUAGAAAAGUUGAAGAGCUACAAAAUUUAAUACACAUUAAAGAGUAACAAUGGUGCCACAGCCAAGAGGCCCAGGUUUCACCAGGUGACUAUCUCUCCUCCAUCUCUUUACUUGCCCGUGCAAAGUCAAAGUGGGGUUCAUACUGUCCUCCCACUCCAUAAUUUGCCACCUGAAAAAGAGAAACACAGUGCUUGUGAAGAAGAAAGAGGUGGAGACAGAAAACAGGACUUACCCUUCCAAAAUCAAAAUGAGGCUCAUACUGGCCUCCUACUCCGUAGUUGGCUACCUACAGUGAAAGGAGAAGCACAAAAUCUAGUAAAGCAGUAUUUUACCCAGACAAGAAUUUGACUGUCAUUUACAGCCUUUUGACAGAUGAAAUUUAAAGAUCAAGCCAUAGGAAAUUGCAAGUCUCUGCCAGCUGAACUGUACUGUAUGCAGCAAAGUCCUACUGGCUUUAUACACAGACAGCUCUGACUGCACCCAGACUCCUCAUCGGUGUACAAGAGCCAGAACCUGGCACUGAGCUUUAGGCUCUCAGCCUUUCAGCCUGCCUUUGCAGUUCUUGACUGCAAAGCUGCAGCUGAACUUGCCCUUCCCCGGGGCUAGCCUUGCUGGAAAGCUCUUCUGUUUGCCCCCAGCUGAAUGGGUAAAGACAUUCUCCCACUUCUGAGUGCCUGCUACUGUCUGAUCUAAUGACUUUGAGGCCAUAGAACCUGACUGUGAAACUUUUGAAACUCCUGGAGAGCUGAGGGACAGCCACAGGCUCCAAGGAGCCCCAGGAUGUUUGGCCACAAGAGCAGCAGCACAUCCAAGACUGGCACUGCAAGUUGCGGUGUACUCUGGGGUAAGGAAUCUGGUACUUCUCCAGGGCAGAAAAAUAUUUUCCUUCUAUAGAAACUUUACAGGUUAUAUGAUCUUCAAAAUAGUCAUGGCACUUUUAACAUCGUUCAAGUUUAAAUCACUUUUUGAUCUCUACAUCAAUAAAGAGGAUCCACUGUCCUUUUUGCCAAUUGAUUUUUAUUUUUUUUCCAUCUCUUCUAUGUAUUCAUAACCCCAUUUUUCAACCAACUACUUGGGCAUUUUAUCAUCAGGGGUCUUGAUGGAGUAGCACAGAGGCACAACAGCUUUCAGGAACCGCUUUCUAGGUGUCCUGCUUUCUCAGAAUCAGUGAAGCAGCUGUUCAUGUAAAAGCCUCAAGCAAAUGAACAGAAGUACUUCUAAAAUAAAAUUUACUCAAGUUA